rnacentral:lncRNA from 1 species
AUAUUUGUUGAAUUUAAAAGUGUAAUGAGAUUAUUAAAAUAAAUGUGCAUUAACUGUUCAUUUACUUUUUAAUAAACUCGGAAUAAACCUGUAAAGUAUUUUAUAAAGUAGGACAGUGCAGUGCCCUUUGUUCUUAGUGCCCCAAUUUGGCCACCCCUCUUAAAAUUUUACCUCUGUCCCACAAAAACAGUAUAAAAUAAGUGACUCCCACAAUGGCAGAUUAGUGAUAAACUGGAGUGUAAUGUACAAAGAUAAUGAACUGAUAGACAACUUGUAGAGAGUCAUAGCGUCGGAUUUCUCAUAUGACGAUGGUUUGUGUGCUUUAACAGUUUGCUAAACGUCUUUGUUUUAACUUUCAUCUGUGCUAAGUAACUUUAGCCUGUAAGAUAACCUGUUCAGAUACAACAUACCAUAUGUAUUUUCACUGUCUCAAACUCAAUCGCAUUGCUGUCACAGCACCAUUAGGUCUCGGUUGUUACCUUACGUUUAUGGAUUAUAGUUUAAUGUGCUUAUCUGGUACUGGCCCAGACUCAGUACAUGCUACAGAACACGUCUUUUUUCCCCCUGGGAAAGUCGCAAAAUCGCAUCAGGCUCGAUGUGUAUAGUCAGGUGCGUCAAAAUUCGCCUCUGAAUAUUUCAUAAUUUCGUGUCGUACAUUUGCGUCUUUCCCGGUGUGUGAGGACCUUAAAGAUCGAGAAAAUUGACAAUAUCAUAGAAUCGCAAUUUCAAUCGAAUUGGCAUCUAAAAGAUCAUAGAGGAAUAAAAAAAAAAAAGCAUAUCGUCCCAGCCCUAUUAAAAAAGUACCUUCAAGCUUCAAAGUUUUCCUUUUUAGCCUUCAAUGCAGUAAAUCAACACAGGAGCACUUUUAAGCAUGUUUGAAUAUCUUGUAUCAUUCCCAACUCAAAUUUUGGCAGAUCCAAAACCGUGUGUUUGGUCCUCAAACUAAUCAUAGAUGGUCUCAGGCUUGUGUGUCUACGCAUUAAGCUUUUUAAAGUAAUCAAUUAACUGCAAAGCAACAGAUUUGAGUGCAAUUAAUCAAAAACUAAAAAUGCGUCAUCUUCCAAAAUUUCCAAUUCAUGUGAGAGAGAGAUACUGUAUUAAUUUCUUGAGUGUGUACUCGAAAGCAUCACUUAGCUGUGUUUAUUUUUGGGAGACAAAGAUGGUAUUUGCAUAGCUGUGCUAUAUCAGCGUGUGUGUUCAGAUCUAAGCAUUUUGUCGCAACAAACAGGACUUUGCAUUUUUGUGUUUUUGUGUGUGUUUGCAGGAGUGCAUUUGUUUGAGACUUUGUGUGUGUGUGUUGCAAAGUGUUGUCAGAAGUGAUCCCAUUUUCAUUACUCACUGACUCAAAGAAGGAGGUGAGGCCCUGGCUCGCAGCAGUGAUAAAUGCAUUACCCCAAUAAACCCUGUCUCCACUGAGGUGCUGAAUGCUGACACACACACUCACACAAACACGCACACACACACACACACAAUGAGUAAUGGAGAGAAAAAAGAGGCUGGCGACAGAAAGAAAAGGGAUGGAUAGAUAAAGGGAGUAAAGAGACAAUCAGAUGGCAAGAGAAAGACAGUGACAGGUAAGAGGAGAUGAGAAAGAGGAGAUUGAGAGAGAAAAAACAACAGCGAUGGGAAGGUGGGGGGAAAGUGACAGGUGCCGGGGAAAAGAGAGCGACAGGAAAGAGGGUAGACGGAGGAAAAAGAGGCAGACAGACAGGAGGGAGCUGGGAGGAGGUGAUGGGAGCAGAGAGACAGAAGGUUAGGGGUAGAGGGGUGCUAAUGGCUGUAUGCAGAGCGGGGCUGUGGGGCAUACGGUUGUUGCGGGGGCACAGAGAUGUAUGUGUGGGAGAGGGGGAUAGAGAGCAGUAUAGAUGGAGUGAUGGUUAGGAGGAGGGAGGUGGGAGGUGAGGGAUCAGUGGUGUCCAGCUGGCCUCUUCCUCGGCCCCUCAUUAGAGCAGCACAGGUCUGUCGCGAAUAGUAAUCGGGGGGGAGACAAGGGGGAAGAUGUACAUACUGUGUAGAGAGUGUGUGUUUUAAACAGUGUGGGUAUGCUCGAGUGUGUGUACACACAGUUCAUUCUCACUUCCCAGCAGACUUGCAGUGGUAGUUAGUGUUUGAGUGUACUCUGACCACAGUCGCUGUCUUUCUUUCACUUUUUUCAAACGGAUUAUCAAAACUUCAGAGUCGUCUCUCUAGAACAGGGAGAGUUGACCCUGACCUGUGUAACCAGGCAGCUAACAAACAACACAACAAAGAAGGAUCCAACUCCAGAGUAGGACUGGGCAAUUUGGAAAAAAGAAUGAUCAUGAUAUAUUUUGUCAUAUUAUCUGAUCUCGAUUAUCAUCUGAUCUUGAUUAUAUAUAAAAAAAAAAAUUUAAACUGCCAGUUUUAAACUGCCAGUUUUAAAGCAUCUGUACUAAAAAGGUAACACUUUCGUAAUUACAGUACACUUAACUAGUAUCGCUACGCAAUCUUCGCACGCCCAUAGGCUGUAUAAAGUGUCAAUCAUAGAAAAUAAGAACCCCAAAUAGCUUUUGAAAAUGGAGCUGAACAGAAAAAAGAAAAACUAGACAGUAUUGACUUAGUAGUUAUUAUGUAAUUACCAGAUAAUUUCAUGUUGUUACUAGGUAAAUUACCUGUUAAUUACCUGGUAAUAAGUGUACCGUAAAAGAAAGGGUUAUCCUAAAAACUAUUGAAACUAGGGAUUAGUUCAACAUUUCAGUAACAUACAAUGUAAAUAACAAAGCAAAUUGAAUAAGAUAAACUCAGAAAAAUGACGUCACUUUGGAGAUACCUGAACCCACUGCCACACAACUGAUGUUGAAUAACCUUUCUUCUCAACAAUAACAUCUUCAGAGGAUGACUCAAAGUCAUGGCUGACAUCUAUUCUGCUGCCCUCAGCUCCGCGUUAAGCUCCACAUUCGGUCAUUCUGUUUACGUCUCCGGCAACUUACUGAAGUGAGCAGGAAAAGCUUGACUCUGAGCGGCAGUUGUCACGCACAUUUCUGCCAUGUUUGAUCCAGUAAAUGUGCUCACAGCUGAUCACUGUGAUCGAACCGAAAUUUAUCACAAUCAUAUAAUAGACCAAUCCUACUCCAGAGUUGGUUGUGUUUACGUUGAUUAAGGCAGACAGCUUACAUGUACUUUUCGAACAGCACCAAAACAAAUUGACAGGCCAACAGACUGAAACGAUGGAAAAAUUAUUUAUCUUCUGGAUCCAUCGUUUUUCCUGUUUUUGUAAGCUCAAAAAAAAAAAAGGCCAUAUCGCCCAACCCUAGAUCAAUCUUUGAAAUGUUGGGUUUGGUAGCUGUUAGGAAAACUUCUUCUCAUGGUUACCUAAGUCAAAGUAGUUUAAAGAAUGGGACCAUUGACUAAGCUGCUGGAUUUGACAAGCUGACAGUGACUCGACUGUAAGAAGGAGCAAAUACAGUAAAUGUAGUCACUGAUCACAACAGGGAGUCCAAAACACAAGUGUACAUCUGUAAUUGAGUGCAUGUGUAAGUGUGUGCAAUAAAGUGAACAUGUAUUGGUGCUUGUGUGUUGCAUUGAAUGAGCUUGUGUACAUGGAUAAAAUGCACAUUUAUGUAUACAGUAGCCUAAGGGGAAAAGUGUGUGUGUGUGAUUCAUGUAAAUAUACCUGAGUGUAAUUAUGCAAUAGUGUGUGUGAGAGAGAAAGUGAAUGGAUUUGAGUGUAUAUGCACUUGGCAUGGGAAUAUUUAGAUGAGGGUCUGUGUGUAUGCAGUGUGUUUUCAUGAAUGAGAAUGACUUAGGGUGUGUUAGCUGUAACACCUAAUCACCAUCUCCCUCCUUCUCUCUCUCUCUCUCUCUCUCUCUUUCUCUCUCUCUUCUUUGCCUCCCGGCCCAACACCUCUGGUAAUGAGGUGAGGGUUGGAAGGGAUCAGAACCCUUAGCGAAGUGGACCGGCCCAUCCUCAGUUGUGACUACAUGCAGGUCAGGCCUCCCUCAUUAGCCGCCAUCACAGUGGCAUCACAGGCAAAAAAGUGCCAGAGUGCAAAUUGAAGACACCAAGUUCACUAAAUCAAAUCAGAACCUGAGACCCCACUGCAUCUUAAAAAAAAAAAAGAAGAAGAAGAAGAAGAAGGAAGUAAAGCAGCUUUUAAAUUCCUUUUUGGGAUUCUUGAGAAAUUAGAGAAGUCAGAUGUGGUGCGUUGGAGGGGGCAGAUGGGGAAAAGAGAGGCCGAGAGGGGUGGAGGGCAGAAUACAAUUAAAAGGGAGCAGAGAGUCAAGGGGACUGACCUGGUGAUGGGAGGGGAGAGGAGGGGAGAGAGGGCAGUUCUUAGUGCACGUGCACCACAUAAUGAAAGGUUGAACUUUGUGUGGCCGGGGUGGCAUACCAAAUCGAGUCACCCCGGGAGUAUUGAGAGAGAGUGUCAGGAAAGAGGGUAGAGAGAGCAGACUGAAUGGUGAGAGAGAGAAGGAGGAAGGAGAAAUGGAAACAACAGGCGACCCAAACUAAAGAGGCAAAGGCGAAGGAGAGGCUGAGACUUUAACGAGGGACGAGGAAGGUAGUGAGAGAGACCCAAGCUGGGAGGGACGGAGGAAGGCAGACUGACUCGCCGUGCAGAGAGGAGGAGGAUGGAGAAGGAAUGGAGGGAGAGACAGAGCGAGAGAGGCCCCCGCUACAUGGCUGCCACGGGGGCCUGAGUGACAGAAAUUAAUAAUUAGUGACAAUGAUUGACAGCGCUCCCUCCAUCUGCGGCUCUCCGCCGCCUCACAACGCCUGCCUCCGCCAGCGACCGCGGGCACAAUGAGCUCCAGAGGGAUUGUGGGAGACGCACUUGAUUGACAACUGCCUCCUGGAGAGACAAGGAGAGGGUGGAGGGGGGUGGGCAGGAGCCGGGGAGAGAAAGGAUGGCGUGAAAGAGAGGAGAGGUGGUGUACAAGAGGGGAGGGAUGGAGGGGAGAGGUGGAUGACAGGGGCAAGGGGACAGAACAAGAAAAGGAGGGUUGGGGGGUUUAGUAAGAUGGUCAGGGGUUUUUCUCCUCCCUAGAUUGAGGGAGGAAUUGCUGCUAUCAACUCCUCUCAGUCCUCUCCUCCAUUACUGUCCCCGCUUUCUUCAUCACACCGAGGGCCUCUCUUCCUAUGAUCUCACCUUCACCACCACUCCCCCACCAGUGUAUAGCACCGUUUUGCAGAAGUGACGAAUGCACCGCAGAAGGAAAGAGAGAGAUAAAUAAAGAAGGGAAUAUGAGAAAAGGGGGUUGAGCCCUCGGGUUUCAGGGGUGAGGGGAAUAGCCUGUAAAAAGUCAUCAGCAGGGAAUUUGUCACUCUCUCUCUCUCUGUCCCUGCCCUGCCUCCGUUUUCUCUCUUUAUCCUCGCUGCAUCCGUCCGCUGCUCCUGUUAGCCAUCCAAAGUGCCUUUCUCUUUAGUGUCAGCGCUGACAUCACAGCGUCCCGGGUUUGCUAAGUGUUUUGUCUUUCACUGGAAGUGAAAAACAUCUGUGCAGAGAAGUGAAGUAUUACACGACGACUCAUGUAGAAGCUGAAUCUUAAUCUUUUUUUUCUCUUGCAUAUCUUGUUCUCUCUUUGCCCUCCCGUUCCCCUUUUCUUUCAUUUUACUCUUGUUUGAUCCGUUUUUCUCCCUCUGGUGUACCUUCUCUUCAUCCCUUUUUUUCCCCCCCUUCCAUGCCAGGCCUGUUUCAGCCUGCCUUGACAUGGUCUGGUCUAAUGUGCUCCAGUACGGCUUAAUCGCU